rnacentral:snRNA from 1 species
ACACUUUUAAAUCUUCUGUCAUU